rnacentral:rRNA from 1 species
AUGCCCCGGAAUCCCAAGCUAUUAUCCAAGAAUGAGCAACCAACUAAGCUUGGGGAUGCCACUCGGUAUAUUACUCGAGACUAUAUUUUUAUUUGUCACAUGAUAUGUGUUUUGCUUGGAGCGUCUUGUAUGAUAUGUGUCUUUGCUUGUUUUAUUUUGUGUUUUAAGUCAUCAUUCCUCGCUGGAAACACAUAUUUGAGAGAGCCAAAAUUAUGUCAUGAAUUGUCAGAAUUGCUCUCUAUGCCUCACUUAAAUUUUUAUGAGCAAUGGACUUGCUCUAGUGCUUCACAUAUAUCUUUUUGA